rnacentral:rRNA from 2 species
ACAUGCAAGUCGAACGAGUUCUCGUUGAUGAUCGGUGCUUGCACCGAGAUUCAACAUGGAACGAGUGGCGGACGGGUGAGUAACACGUGGGUAACCUGCCCUUAAGUGGGGGAUAACAUUUGGAAACAGAUGCUAAUACCGCAUAGAUCCAAGAACCGCAUGGUUCUUGGCUGAAAGAUGGCGUAAGCUAUCGCUUUUGGAUGGACCCGCGGCGUAUUAGCUAGUUGGUGAGGUAAUGGCUCACCAAGGCGAUGAUACGUAGCCGAACUGAGAGGUUGAUCGGCCACAUUGGGACUGAGACACGGCCCAAACUCCUACGGGAGGCAGCAGUAGGGAAUCUUCCACAAUGGACGCAAGUCUGAUGGAGCAACGCCGCGUGAGUGAAGAAGGCUUUCGGGUCGUAAAACUCUGUUGUUGGAGAAGAAUGGUCGGCAGAGUAACUGUUGUCGGCGUGACGGUAUCCAACCAGAAAGCCACGGCUAACUACGUGCCAGCAGCCGCGGUAAUACGUAGGUGGCAAGCGUUAUCCGGAUUUAUUGGGCGUAAAGCGAGCGCAGGCGGUUUUUUAAGUCUGAUGUGAAAGCCCUCGGCUUAACCGAGGAAGCGCAUCGGAAACUGGGAAACUUGAGUGCAGAAGAGGACAGUGGAACUCCAUGUGUAGCGGUGAAAUGCGUAGAUAUAUGGAAGAACACCAGUGGCGAAGGCGGCUGUCUGGUCUGUAACUGACGCUGAGGCUCGAAAGCAUGGGUAGCGAACAGGAUUAGAUACCCUGGUAGUCCAUGCCGUAAACGAUGAAUGCUAGGUGUUGGAGGGUUUCCGCCCUUCAGUGCCGCAGCUAACGCAUUAAGCAUUCCGCCUGGGGAGUACGACCGCAAGGUUGAAACUCAAAGGAAUUGACGGGGGCCCGCACAAGCGGUGGAGCAUGUGGUUUAAUUCGAAGCAACGCGAAGAACCUUACCAGGUCUUGACAUCUUUUGAUCACCUGAGAGAUCA